rnacentral:rRNA from 1 species
CUUCGGGAAACCGGAGCUAAUACCGGAUAAUAUUUCGAACCGCAUGGUUCGAUAGUGAAAGAUGGUUUUGCUAUCACUUAUAGAUGGACCCGCGCCGUAUUAGCUAGUUGGUAAGGUAACGGCUUACCAAGGCGACGAUACGUAGCCGACCUGAGAGGGUGAUCGGCCACACUGGAACUGAGACACGGUCCAGACUCCUACGGGAGGCAGCAGAA